GGUUUGAGCAGGAUCAUUAAAGUCCUUGGCGCUAAGAUUCAGGCUCUUGUAAGAACUGAGAUCCAGUUCUUGUACUUCAGCCCCAAACGAUUUUCCACGCAGCGGCCCAAGUGCUUUUCUCAACAUGUAAAUGGCAUCAUGUCAUUCCCCCACUUAGAACCUCUGAGUAUCUCUGUCCCUCUCCAUCCAGCCUUAUCCCAGUGGUCUUUCUGGGCUGCUUGAAAUUACUACCCCUCUCCUCCAGCUUUCUCUUGCCUCAGGCCUUUGCGCAUGCUGUUUCCUUCACUGUCUCUUGGCCAAUUCCUAACUCAUCCUUCAGGUCUCCGCAUAAAUGGCACUUUACUAGUGAAGCCUUCCCUGUGCCCCAAUCUGAAUGAGGUCCCACUGCUACUCCCACGUGGCACCCUGCGGUUUUCCUUCAUACCUAUAUUCAAAGCUGUAAUUUUCUAAUUUUAUUUACUUACUAUCUCUUCCACUAGAAAGGACAGAGGCCACUUCUAUUUUGUACCCCAUCCUCAGGACAGUUAAAUCAUCCCCAGUAAAACGUGCAUACCAGAUUGGAAACUCCAGCUUGUUCCAAGUCUACCAACGCUUGGCCUGGUCCGUGCUUGCUGUGCUUGCUCUCCUUCAUCUGGAAUACUGGCAGAGAUGACGUGGAUGCGGAUCCACAGAACUCUCUGUAACAGCCGGGCUCACCGCUAGCGAGCACCUUCCCACCGGCAGUGCUUGGCGGCAAUCUGGUGUGCCUGUGGGGGCCUCCCGCUUUGAAGGCCUUUCCCGGAUCCUCCAGACUGAACUUCGUGUCCUCGCUAUGUGAAACACCGAAAUCUUAUUCAUUUCCAAAAGCACCUUCUACUCAUUCCUAGAAACAGAAAGGAUAGACCCAGGAGAGCUGGC